rnacentral:rRNA from 1 species
UACGUAGGGGGCAAGCGUUGUCCGGAAUCAUUGGGCGUAAAGAGCGUGUAGGCGGCUCGGUAAGUCCGCUGUGAAAGUCCAGGGCUCAACCCUGGAAUGCCGGCGGAAACCAUCUGGCUAGAGUCCGGAAGAGGAGAAUGGAAUUCCCGGUGUAGCGGUGAAAUGCGCAGGAUAUCGGGAAGAACACCCGUGGCGAAGGCGGUUCUCUGGGACGGUACGUGACGCUGAGACGCCGAAGCUGGGGAGCGAACAGGAUUGAAGACGUACCCCGUGUAGUC